CCGAACUUAAGGCGAAACCGCAAACGGCUUCCAUUUAAAUCAGUUUUUAGUUUCACUUUGAGCGAAAACUAUCAGUUUAAGGAUAACUGUGGCAAUUCUAGAGCUAAUACAUGCAACCGAGUCCCGACCAGCGAUGGAAAGGACGCUUUUAUUAGAUCAAAACCAAUCGGGGUUCGCGCCCCGUUGAACUUGAUGACUCUGAAUAACACACCGGAUCGCACGGUCUCAGUGCCGGCGACCCAUCUUUCAAAUGCCUGACUUAUCAACUGUCGAUGGUAGAUUCUACGUCUACCAUGGUUGUAACGGGUGACGGGGAAUCAGGGUUCGAUUCCGGAGAGGGAGCCUGAGAAACGGCUACCACAUCCAAGGAAGGCAGCAGGCACGCAAAUUACCCACUCCCGGCACGGGGAGGUAGUGACAAAAAAUAACGAUACGGGACUCAUCCGAGGCCCCGUAAUCGGAAUGAGAACACUCUAAAUCAUUUAACAAGGACCUAUUGGAGGGCAAGUCUGGUGC
rnacentral:rRNA from 1 species